UACGUAGGGCGCAAGCGUUAUCCGGAAUUAUUGGGCGUAAAGAGCUCGUAGGCGGUUUGUCGCGUCUGCCGUGAAAGUCCGGGGCUCAACUCCGGAUCUGCGGUGGGUACGGGCAGACUAGAGUGAUGUAGGGGGAGACUGGAAUUCCUGGUGUAGCGGUGAAAUGCGCAGAUAUCAGGAGGAACACCAGUGGCGAAGGCGGAUCUCUGGGCCUGUCCUGACGCUCAGGCGCGAAAGCUAGGGGGAGCAAACAGG
rnacentral:rRNA from 1 species